rnacentral:rRNA from 1 species
CAGUCGCCGCGGGAAUACGAAGGGUGCAAGCGUUACUCGGAAUUACUGGGCGUAAAGCGUGCGUAGGCGGCUUCUUAAGUCGGAUGUGAAAUCCCUGAGCUUAACUUAGGAAUUGCAUUCGAUACUGGGAAGCUAGAGUAUGGGAGAGGAUGGUAGAAUUCCAGGUGUAGCGGUGAAAUGCGUAGAGAUCUGGAGGAAUACCGAUGGCGAAGGCAGCCAUCUGGCCUAAUACUGACGCUGAGGUACGAAAGCAUGGGGAGCAAACAGGAUUAGAUACCCCCGUAGUCCCUGUCUCUUAUAC